GAUGAAGAACGCAGCGAAAUGCGAUAAGUAGUGUGAAUUGCAGAAUUCAGUGAAUCAUCGAAUCUUUGAACGCACAUUGCGCCCUUUGGUAUUCCUUAGGGCAUGCCUGUUCGAGCGUCAUUUAAACCUUCAAGCUCAGCUUGGUGAUGGGCGACUGUCCCCCCCCCCUCGCGGGGGGGACUCGCCUCAAAAACAUUGGCGGCCGGUACAUUGGCUUCGAGCGCAGCAGAAACGCGGUCUCGAGCCCGGUGGAUCGGCUCCCAUAAGCCUAUUCUUUUAUUUUGACCUCGGAUCAGGUAGGGAUACCCGCUGAACUUAAGCAUACAAUAAGCAGAGGA
rnacentral:misc_RNA from 1 species